rnacentral:piRNA from 1 species
UGUUGAAAGGGUGAAAUGAGCAGAGGGU